rnacentral:lncRNA from 1 species
GAGUAUAUAUGCCUAAGCAUAUGUGUGCCUAGAUGAUAAGAUUGUUUUUCUCAACUAUUUUCUAUGAUUUUUAAUGUAUAAGUGGCUAUAAAGGAUAGUUUCACAGUGCACUUGUUUGCAUUCCAGAACAAGUGUUAGGCCCUGUUUGGGGGAGCUUUUGGAGGGCCAAAAAGCACUUUCUGACCCUCCAAAAGUACUUUUAGAUAAAAAAUGGUGCUUGGUAAAAUUUUCGGAAAGCUGUUUCA